ACGGUAGUCCUUCGGGAUGAGAGUGGCGAACGGGUGAGUAAUAUAUCGGAACAUAUCCGUAAGUGGGGGAUAACGUAGAGAAAUUUACGCUAAUACCGCAUAUUCCCUGAGGGGGAAAGGAGGGGAUUCGCAAGAACCUUUCGCUGACGGAGUGGCCGAUAUCGGAUUAGCUAGUAGGUGAGGUAAAGGCUCACCUAGGCGACGAUCCGUAGCGGGUCUGAGAGGAUGAUCCGCCACACUGGAACUGAGACACGGUCCAGACUCCUACGGGAGGCAGCAGUGGGGAAUUUUGGACAAUGGGCGAAAGCCUGAUCCAGCCAUACCGCGUGAGUGAAGAAGGCCUUCGGGUUGUAAAGCUCUUUCAGCCGGAAAGAAAUCCUGCUUACUAAUACUAAGUGGGGAUGACGGUACCGGAAGAAGAAGCACCGGCUAACUACGUGCCAGCAGCCGCGGUAAUACGUAGGGUGCGAGCGUUAAUCGGAAUUACUGGGCGUAAAGCGUGCGCAGGCGGUUUUAUAAGCCAGAUGUGAAAUCCCCGGGCUUAACCUGGGAACUGCAUUUGGAACUGUAAGACUAGAGUGUAGCAGAGGGGGGUAGAAUUCCACGUGUAGCAGUGAAAUGCGUAGAGAUGUGGAGGAAUACCGAUGGCGAAGCAGCCCCCUGGGCUAACACUGACGCUCAUGCACGAAAGCGUGGGGAGCAAACAGGAUUAGAUACCCUGGCUAGUCCACGCCCUAAACGAUGUCAACUAGGUGUUGGGGAAGGAGACUUCUUUAGUAUCGCAGCUAACGCGUGAAGUGACCGCCUGAGAGUACGUCGCAGGAUUAAAACUCAAAGGA
rnacentral:rRNA from 1 species